rnacentral:lncRNA from 1 species
UCAACAAUUUUUGUUCAAAGUUAAGGUUUGUAUUGGUGAUUUGGAUUUUAUAUAGUAUAAUUAGGGCUAGUAAUUUUGGCUAGUUUGUGCAAUUGGUGUAACAUCUAUGGUUCAAAAUUUGAAAUUAUUUGGAUUAUCAAGUGUGCUAAGUGCAUAAAAUUUUUUGUAAUAAUCUAACAAUGUGGUUUAGAGAUAUCUAGUUUUUAGCACAAGAAGGUUUUGGAAGUUGGCAGUUUGAGGUUGGAUAGGGUUUCUAUGAUAUCUAGAGAUCUACUAGUCAGAACAAGGUAAAAUUUGGUACGGUAUUGAAAGACUUGAAGAUCAAGCUGCACACCAAUUUUGAAUCAAAGUUAAUAGUUAGAAAAGGAGAAA